AAUAAAUGUUUGCCAUUGUUGGGAGUCAGGCAUAGCAGCUUAAGAUCAUGUGCAGCCUACCAAUGUAUGGGGAGAGGCUUACAUGCAAGCUGCUAAUUUAUUUUUUCCUCUCUAUGAUCAGUACCCUCUCUCCUGGAAAGAAAACAAUAUAGAUUUGGAAACAAAGGAAAUUCAGGGAAUAUUAUUUCCUCAAAGAUGAGAUCAUUAAUGUAUUUGUGAGAUGACCAUAAAGCCAGCUUUGAGAGCUCUCUAUUCAACUAUAAAUUGUUCGUUGUGGCCCUGCUAUCUUGUAGCUCUGUUUUUAUAUUCACCGCUGUGCUUCCUGAAAGCAACAAUUUCUGCUAAUGCACUGACCAAGCAGCAGCAUAAUAAUCCUGUCAGCCAACAAUGGAUGGGAGCUGAGGAUUGAAAGGAGAUAUAGAAAAAAUUGAACAGAUGUGUACAUGGACACUGGAACUGGAAGGAAGAUGCAGAAUCAAGACCUAAAGAAGUUGAGUAACUUCACUCUAGAUCAUCUGGUAGAGGAUUUAAAGGAGAUCUAGCCCUGAGAAGUUAGGCUCUAAAACCUAUGCCCUUCCCAUGAAAGCACAUUUUCUUCAUAAAAAGGGAUCUCAUUUGAAGUACUAAGAAGAAUAAGCCAUUGGUUUGAAAAAAGCCCUCUUAAGAGCAAAAUGAAUUCUGCUAAAAUUGAAGCAGGAACAAAUAUCAACUUUAUGGUGAAGCUCUGGUGGAAGAAUGAUGAAAUCACUGAUACUUUACAAGAAGUUUAUGGUGACAAUGCCUUAAAGAAAUCAUCAGUUUACACAUGGAUAGCUUGUUUUAGGAAGGGAUGAGAUGCUGAUGAUAAAUCCUGUGCUGGCAAAUACAUCCACAGCAAUUUGCAAGGAAAAAAUUUAUCUUGCUCAUGCCCUAACUGAAGAGGACCAACAUUUAACAGCUUGGACAAUAGCCAGCACCAUAGAUAUCUCAACUGGUUCAGCUUACACAAUCCUGAGUCAAAAAUCAAAGUCGAGCACCUUCCACUCAAUUGGUGCCAAAACCAUUGGACCCAGAUCAACUGCAGACAAUAGUAGAGCUUUCCAUGAAUAUUUUAAACAACUGGGACCAAGAUCUUGUAGCGUUUCUCCAAGAAGAGUAACAGGAGAUGAAACAUAGCUUUCCCAGUAUGAUCCUGAAGACAAAGCACAAUCAAAGCAAUGACUACCAAGACGUGGAGUGUGGUCCAGUCAAAGCACAAGCAGAUCAGUCAAAAGCAAAGGUCAUGGCAACGGUGUUUUGGGAUGCUCAAGGCACUUUGUUGACUUGCUGGAGGGCCAAAAAACGAUAACAUCUGCUUAUGAUGAGAGUGUUCUGAGAAAGACAGCCAGAGCUUUAGCAGACAAAUGCCUGGGAAAGCUUCACCAAAGAGCCCUUCUCUACCAUGACAAUGCUCCUCCUCAUUCCUCUCAUCAAACAAGGGGAAAUUUGUGAAAGUUUCAAUGGGAAAUCAUUAGGCAUCCACCUUAUAGUCCUGAUUUGGCUCCUUUUAACCUAUUUUUGUUUCUUAAUCUUAAAAAAAAAAAUCUUUCAAGGGCAAUCAUUUUUCUUCAGUAAAUAAUGUAGAGUGCAUUGACAUGGUUAAAAAGACUGCACUGACAUGGUUAAAUUACCAGGACUCUCAGUACAUUAGGUAUGGGUUAAAUGGUUGAUAUCAUCACUUUCUCAUCAAUUUCAAGACAUUUUUGUUUUCUCAUACGAUGCAUCAAGAAGCAAAGAUGACUGAAGUGCCUCUUUGUACCUGAGAGUUUCCCAAUGUAUUUUUAUAAUUUUGGGUUCUAAGCUUAUUUUUAAUGUGUGUUUUGUCUCCUAUAGAAAAUCUUGGUUGAUAAUUUGUCCUUUUGCUAGGCUUCCCAGGAUAUUCCAAUUUCAGAGCACUUUUUGUGUUAAUUUCUUACUUAGAGGUUGGCAAACCCCACAUAUAUUACCUAUUUCAAUUAUAAGCCCCCAAAUUUAUGUGAGGGGAGGCAUGGUUACAAACUCAUAGGGAAGACAUUUUCCUCUUUACUUGGAGCCCAAGCCAAGACGUUCAUUUAUUCAAUAAAAGUUUACUAAGUUACUGUGCUAAAGACUAGGGAUAUCAUAAGAAACAGGCAAAGUCCCUGCUCUCAUGAAAGUUAUAUUUUGGAAUAAUAUCCUUGUGCUGAUGAGGAAAUUUUCUAGUCCUCCAGCAGGAAUCUCAGUUUUCACUCCCUGACUCCAUUAGGCUCGUGGCCUCAUUUCAUAUUCUGUUAUGGUUAUUAUAAUCCAUUUCCAUGAUUACCAAGGCUGAGAAUAUUCUUUCAUCCAUGACCUUCAAAUUGACCUUACCAUUUUAUUUUGCCUUCUUCAUUUUUGGCAAGUAGGAACUUGGCUUACUUUAUUGUAAGCUCAGCUAUACAUUUAAAAGUAAAUACACAUUUUUUUCAUCAUUUCUAUGGGUUUAGUGGCAGAGGGAGUUACAAUAUCUGGUCUACCACAUUGCAGGAACUAGAUUUCCCCAGAUGACUAAUGCUUCAGUCAAAAGUCUUCUUCCCCCACCCACCCCCCCCGCCCCAAACACAUUAGACUUACUUAUGCCAUUGUGGAAAAUUAUUUCCAUUGUCUUUGAAGUCCCCUUUCCCAGGUUUUCUCUCUACUGUUUUUUUCUAAUCUUUCAGGGUGUACUCAAAUGUUACCUUCUCAAAGAGACUUUCCUGUAAAACCUCACCUUGAACACUCUAUCUCACUCACUUUGUUUUUUCUUUUUUAUAACUUUAAUAGUAUUUUGAAUUAUCAUACUUAUUUACUUGUUGAUCAUGCCUCUAUCCCACUGUAAUGCAACUUCCAUGACAGCAUAAUCUUUUCUGUCUUGUUUACCAUUAUUUCUCUAGGGUCAGUCUAUCAGUACUUUUAUUUUCUUAGCAGAAUUGGGUGUCUCUUGAUGUGAUGCAAAAAGAAAACACAUGAUUGAUGAUGGCUUCUAACCAAGGAUUCAAGGCAUCUGAUUUGAAUUCUAGAUUGUAGACAUUACAGGGAUGAAGGCACAAAGUAAAUAACACCAGAAAGAGGAUUUAACACAAAAUCUGGAAGUUGGGAUAUUUCACAGGAUAAAUUGUUGAGCCUUUUCCGAAAUAAGUGUCUAGCAAAUCCUGUAUUAGUAUCUUUAGUGAUCAUGCCUGAGUUUGCUCUCCAAAGGCACCAUAUCUAUACAUUCUUAGUAUCUUAUCUGUUUUAAGCAGAUAAUAAAGUCAACUGAACCUUCCCUUACUGUUACACACUAAGUAAGUGCAAUUUGGAUGGUUUGAAGAUAUUAAAUAUUUCAAUUCAGAUUUAAGGAGACCUGUUUGAGAGAAACUACUAGAGCUUUUAACACUUGCUACAGAAAGGUAAUGUCUUUUCUAUUUAGUAUUUUGCAUUCCAAAGAAUGAGAAAAGUUAUUCCAUAAGUAGAUAAUUGAAUAAGAGAAUCAAAACAUACAUGGAGGUGUUUAAAUGUUUCAUUUUAAAUUUGAUGGCAAAGAUGCUAUGAAACUGUAUUAACAGCUAACAUUUAUUGAACAGAAGGCACUCUAAAUGGUGCUUGUAGAUUAUGGCACUUAAUCCUCACAAUAACUUUAUGAGAUAGGUAUUGUAUUAGCCUGCUCUUGCAUUGCUAUAAAGGAAUACCUGAGAUUGGGUAAUUAAUAAA